GCAGAUGCGAGUUUUGGAUGACUCGUGUUGCGUUCCUAGGUCACGUGAUUUCAGGAGAAGGAAUUUCCAUAGACCUUGUCUGAGAUUAAAGCAGUGAUCAGUUGGCCGAUAUUGACGACAGUGACAGAGACUAGAAAUUUAUGGGGAUUAGCAGGAUAUUACAGAAGUUUUAUGGAAAGGUUUUCAGCGUCAGCGUUGCAGUUGAUUCGACUAUUGAGGAAGUAAGAAAAGUUCGUGGG
rnacentral:lncRNA from 1 species